CUGUGGUCUAGCCUAGAGCGCUCCCUUUGCGGGCACUUCCGGUGCGAUCUAGGCUUCGGGACAGCCGCUCCUCUCCGUCAUGCAGCCUAAUCAGAGUCGAAAGUGAGCUCGCCUUCCGAUAUUCUGCAGGAUCACUUCCUGUGAGAGGGACUUGGCCAUGGAACUUGACUUGGAGGAGCUCGAGCCUGAGACCUGAGACUGCUUCCCUGAGACGAUCACGUGAACUCCUCCUGCCCAGAACACAAAAUGAGGAGCUAAGUAAAGACUGAUCACGGAGAGCCCCUGUAUUCAGACGUCAAUGACAGACAGCUCUGCACAACCCAACCAGACACUUCUCUGCAGAGGUAGGGGUGGCUACUAUAGGAUCAUUCCCAAAACGAUUUCUGUAAAACAAAGUCAUUACCAAGAACAGACCUAAAAAUAAGUGCUUCAAGAUUUUUUCUAAGCCAGUAACGGGAUAUUAAAAAUCACUUUUACC